CUGUGAUAUUUCUUUCUCUUCUUCUUCUUCUUGUCAUCACCUACAUCAUCAUCACCGUCACCAUCACCAUCAUCAUGUUCUCCUUCCCCUUCAAACUCAUCAUCUGAUCUUGAUCUCAUAAGCCCUGAGUUCUCACUGCUAAUCUCAAUAGUACCUUCACUUCUUCCUCUUUCUCCUUCUCCUCCUCCACUUCCCUCUUCCCCUUCCUCCACCUCCAUUGCUGGAGCCUCUGCC
rnacentral:misc_RNA from 1 species